AUGCUGGAGGUAUCAGAAGUGCGAAUGCUGACAUAAGUAACGAUAAAGCGGGUGAAAAGCCCGCUCGCCGGAAGACCAAGGGUUCCUGUCCAACGUUAAUCGGGGCAGGGUGAGUCGACCCCUAAGGCGAGGCCGAAAGGCGUAGUCGAUGGGAAACAGGUCAAUAUUCCUGUACUUGGUGUUACUGCGAAGGGGGGACGGAGAAGGCUAUGUUGGCCGGGCGACGGUUGUCCCGGUUUAAGCGUGUAGGCUGGUUUUCCAGGCAAAUCCGGAAAAUCAAGGCUGAGGCGUGAUGACGAGGCACUACGGUGCUGAAGCAACAAAUGCCCUGCUUCCAGGAAAAGCCUCUAAGCAUCAGGUAACAUCAAAUCGUACCCCAAACCGACACAGGUGGUCAGGUAGAGAAUACCAAGGCGCUUGAGAGAACUCGGGUGAAGGAACUAGGCAAAAUGGUGCCGUAACUUCGGGAGAAGGCACGCUGAUAUGUAGGUGAAGUCCCUCGCGGAUGGAGCUGAAAUCAGUCGAAGAUACCAGCUGGCUGCAACUGUUUAUUAAAAACACAGCACUGUGCAAACACGAAAGUGGACGUAUACGGUGUGACGCCUGCCCGGUGCCGGAAGGUUAAUUGAUGGGGUCAGCGCAAGCGAAGCUCUUGAUCGAAGCCCCGGUAAACGGCGGCCGUAACUAUAACGGUCCUAAGGUAGCGAAAUUCCUUGUCGGGUAAGUUCCGACCUGCACGAAUGGCGUAAUGAUGGCCAGGCUGUCUCCACCCGAGACUCAGUGAAAUUGAACUCGCUGUGAAGAUGCAGUGUACCCGCGGCAAGACGGAAAGACCCCGUGAACCUUUACUAUAGCUUGACACUGAACAUUGAGCCUUGAUGUGUAGGAUAGGUGGGAGGCUUUGAAGUGUGGACGCCAGUCUGCAUGGAGCCGACCUUGAAAUACCACCCUUUAAUGUUUGAUGUUCUAACGUGGACCCGUGAUCCGGGUUGCGGACAGUGUCUGGUGGGUAGUUUGACUGGGGCGGUCUCCUCCUAAAGAGUAACGGAGGAGCACGAAGGUUGGCUAAUCCUGGUCGGACAUCAGGAGGUUAGUGCAAUGGCAUAAGCCAGCUUGACUGCGAGCGUGACGGCGCGAGCAGGUGCGAAAGCAGGUCAUAGUGAUCCGGUGGUUCUGAAUGGAAGGGCCAUCGCUCAACGGAUAAAAGGUACUCCGGGGAUAACAGGCUGAUACCGCCCAAGAGUUCAUAUCGACGGCGGUGUUUGGCACCUCGAUGUCGGCUCAUCACAUCCUGGGGCUGAAGUAGGUCCCAAGGGUAUGGCUGUUCGCCAUUUAAAGUGGUACGCGAGCUGGGUUUAGAACGUCGUGAGACAGUUCGGUCCCUAUCUGCCGUGGGCGCUGGAGAACUGAGGGGGGCUGCUCCUAGUACGAGAGGACCGGAGUGGACGCAUCACUGGUGUUCGGGUUGUCAUGCCAAUGGCACUGCCCGGUAGCUAAAUGCGGAAGAGAUAAGUGCUGAAAGCAUCUAAGCACGAAACUUGCCCCGAGAUGAGUUCUCCCUGACUCCUUGAGAGUCCUGAAGGAACGUUGAAGACGACGACGUUGAUAGGCCGGGUGUGUAAGCGCAGCGAUGCGUUGAGCUAACCGGUACUAAUGAACCGUGAGGCUUAACCUU
rnacentral:rRNA from 1 species